AGAGUUUGAUCAUGGCUCAGGACGAACGCUGGCGGCACGCUUAACACAUGCAAGUCGAACGAGAGAAGAGGAGCUUGCUUUUCUGAUCUAGUGGCGGACGGGUGAGUAACACGUGAGCAAUCUGCCUUUCAGAGGGGGAUACCGAUUGGAAACGAUCGUUAAUACCGCAUAACAUAAUUGAACCGCAUGAUUUGAUUAUCAAAGAUUUAUCGCUGAAAGAUGAGCUCGCGUCUGAUUAGCUAGUUGGUAAGGUAACGGCUUACCAAGGCGACGAUCAGUAGCCGAACUGAGAGGUUGAUCGGCCACAUUGGGACUGAGACACGGCCCAGACUCCUACGGGAGGCAGCAGUGGGGAAUAUUGCACAAUGGAGGAAACUCUGAUGCAGCGAUGCCGCGUGAGGGAAGAAGGUUUUAGGAUUGUAAACCUCUGUCUUCAGGGACGAAAAAAGACGGUACCUGAGGAGGAAGCUCCGGCUAACUACGUGCCAGCAGCCGCGGUAAUACGUAGGGAGCGAGCGUUGUCCGGAAUUACUGGGUGUAAAGGGAGCGUAGGCGGGAUCGCAAGUCAGAUGUGAAAACUAUGGGCUUAACCCAUAAACUGCAUUUGAAACUGUGGUUCUUGAGUGAAGUAGAGGUAAGCGGAAUUCCUAGUGUAGCGGUGAAAUGCGUAGAUAUUAGGAGGAACAUCAGUGGCGAAGGCGGCUUACUGGGCUUUAACUGACGCUGAGGCUCGAAAGCGUGGGGAGCAAACAGGAUUAGAUACCCUGGUAGUCCACGCCGUAAACGAUGAUUACUAGGUGUGGGGGGACUGACCCCUUCCGUGCCGCAGCAAACGCAAUAAGUAAUCCACCUGGGGAGUACGACCGCAAGGUUGAAACUCAAAGGAAUUGACGGGGGCCCGCACAAGCAGUGGAGUAUGUGGAUUAAUUCGAAGCAACGCGAAGAACCUUACCAGGUCUUGACAUCGUAUGCAUAGCUCAGAGAUGAGUGAAAUCUCUUCGGAGACAUAUAGACAGGUGGUGCAUGGUUGUCGUCAGCUCGUGUCGUGAGAUGUUGGGUUAAGUCCCGCAACGAGCGCAACCCUUACUGUUAGUUGCUACGCAAGAGCACUCUAGCAGGACUGCCGUUGACAAAACGGAGGAAGGUGGGGAUGACGUCAAAUCAUCAUGCCCCUUAUGACCUGGGCCUCACACGUACUACAAUGGCUGUCAACAGAGGGAAGCAAAGCCGCGAGGUGGAGCGAACCCCUAAAAGCAGUCUUAGUUCGGAUUGUAGGCUGCAACCCGCCUACAUGAAGUCGGAAUUGCUAGUAAUCGCAGAUCAGCAUGCUGCGGUGAAUACGUUCCCGGGCCUUGUACACACCGCCCGUCACGCCAUGGGAGUCGGUAACACCCGAAGCCUGUAGUCUAACCGCAAGGAGGACGCAGUCGAAGGUGGGAUUGAUGACUGGGGUGAAGUCGUAACAAGGUA
rnacentral:rRNA from 1 species